rnacentral:rRNA from 1 species
AAAUUUGAGAGUUUGAUCCUAGCUCAGAACGAACGCUGGCGGUAUGCUUAACACAUGCAAGUCGAACGGGUGUAGCAAUACAUCAGUGGCAAACGGGUGAGGAAUAUAGAGGAAUCUCCCCAACAGUAAGGAAUAACUCUGAGAAAUCAGUGCUAAUGCCAUAUAUUACCCUCCGGGGGAAAGAUUUAUCGCUGUUGGAUGAGCCUCUAUCGGAUUAGCUAGUUGGUAGGGUAAUGGCCUACCAAGGCGAUGAUCCGUAGCUGGUCUGAGAGGAUGAUCAGCCACACUGGAACUGAGACACGGUCCAGACUCCUACGGGAGGCAGCAGUGGGGAAUAUUGGACAAUGGGCG